CUACAACCAACAAUGACAUAUUCAGUUCCAAUAAAAACGACCACAGACUUUUUGAAACUAAAGUCUAUAUAUUUGUACAGACUAACCAAUAUAAAAAGAAAUUACAUAAUGAGGCAGACAUGUUUAAAAUAAUGCUGAAAAGUUAAUUCAAUUUUUUCAAUGCCACUGUAGGAAAAUACUUUAGUGUACAUUUCCUAAAAAUAAAGACAUUCUCUUCCAUAAUCAUAUUACAAAUUAGGAAGUUUAACACUGAUAUACUAUUAUCUAACUCACAGUCCAUAUACAAAUUUUACCAAUUGUCCAAAUAAUGUCCUUUAUAGACACUUGUUCUUCUCAUUCCAAGAUCCAAUCUAGGAUUAUACAGUGCAUUUAGUUGUUAUACAUCUUCAGUCUUUAGUCUUUUUUUUUCUUGAGACAGGAUCUUGCACUGUCACCAAGGCUGGAAUGCAGUGGCACAAUCAUGGCUCACUGCAGCCUCCAACUCAUGAGCUCAAGCGAUCCUCC
rnacentral:lncRNA from 10 species